rnacentral:lncRNA from 1 species
AGAUAAUAAGUAAUAACUAAUAGCUAUUAGUUACUUUGUGGACGCUAUCUUUAUUGUGUUUUGUAAUUCCAAUCAUGCCCACUAAGUGGCUUGCUCCAGGAUGUAGAACGGACAAUGACAACUAUCUACAACAGUCUGGUGUUACGAUCCAUCUGUGGCCAAACAAAGAGAAAAGCCCCAGACUUGAUACCGCCUCGGUGAGAGUCAUUCCAAGAGAGACAUAUCUGAAGAAGACAGAUUAGUCACCAUCCAAAAGUACACAGCUGUUUUCCUGUAUUUCAACUACUCUGUCAGUCUAAAAGAAGUCAGACCCAUGGCAAGGCUCUAAAGAAGAGGUACCUCAAACUAGGUGUAGGACCAUCCCUAUGGCCAAACUUCCCCAACUACCUCUCAACUCCUAAAGCGUCAUCAAUGCUAACUCAAGCUGCGACCACGUCACGUAGGGCUCAACAGUUCAAUCACCUACGACAGCAUCUGAGUUUGGACUCUUGAUGGAGGAGUCAGUCCUCUCUAGGGAAGAACUUGGUGACAAAUUGACCAAGAAGAUACUCCCAUCAGACUUCAUCCUCGUCACAAAACUAAGAGUUGAUUUUUGAAGCUAUCCCAUGAUGAGAAAUUGGGCCCCAACUAGUAGCCAGCAUCCUGUUUGAGGCAGAUAUGUCAUUCAAAAUGUACCACUCUAGUGUGUUGAUUGACAAAAGGCAGUGUCACACAUCACCUCAGAAGGCAAGGUCAACAAUGGGAUUCAAGCCACCCAUUUGGCUUCCUUUCUGGGAGCAAAAGAAGAAUUGAAUCAAACAGAGACCUGAGAAGACAGUCUCAACAAGUUAGUGAAGUUUGAAGACAACUAAGUGGAGGUAUCUAAUACAUCUGCGUGUAACAGAUCCUGGAAGUAGAGAAAAGAUUUGUAUUCUGAGUCUUGCCAAAUUCUCAGUAUGACUACCUCAGACAUUUAAGCUAUGCUGGAUGAAGACCUGGUAAAAGCUGAGCUCAUUUUGACUAACUGGCAACCAGAUGAGCUCCAGGAACUAUCUUUUAAGGAAGAGAGCAAUGCUUUCUACUUUAUUGCCGGGGGUAGACUAGUUUUUCUUUGAAGAAGAAGAUCAGCUGUACAUCAUGCCAAGAGUUAAUGGUCAUCAGAAACACACCUCCGGACUCAAGAACCUUCGAUAGCCAAACCAAUCAGCAUGUAGACCUGAAAGAUUCAUCGACAUAAUGAGCAGAGGGGGUUGUCGACUCCAUCCGACCUUCUCUACCUCUCCUGUAUUUAUGCUCACUUCGUGUUCUCUUACAUCACAGCUACUCCUGAAAAGAAAGACAGUUUACUUGGCACCCCAAAUAUUAGAGCUUCAUUUGUUGCCACAUUCAUUGAGAGGAUGCAGGACAAUUUAAACUUUGACAUUAUGGCCGUUGUGGGAGUAAAGUGCGAGGAAGGACACUCCUGGUCAGCUUUUCUUCAAAGAAUUUCAUUCGCUUUGUUUAAUGUAAUGGGUAAAAAUUUCAGUGCUACGCAGAAUGGUGACAUCCGAUUUUUAACAAAAAAGAGAAUGGCAGCUAAGAAUUCAGAAGCUAAUAGAAAAAAAGCUAAAUUUCAAUCAAAAUCUUUUGACUUUUAGGCUUGGACCAACUUUGUACUUUUUGAUAGUGCCUUUUCUUUUUUUAUAGGUUUUUAAUGUUUAUUUUGAUUAAAGUACUUAUAACGUA